rnacentral:rRNA from 1 species
GAUAUGGCUCAGGAUGAACGCUGGCGGCGUGCCUAAUACAUGCAAGUAGAACGCUGAAGGAAGGAGCUUGCUCUUUCCGGAUGAGUUGCGAACGGGUGAGUAACGCGUAGGUAACCUGCCUGGUAGCGGGGGAUAACUAUUGGAAACGAUAGCUAAUACCGCAUAACAGUAGAUAUUGCAUGAUAUUUGCUUGAAAGGGGCAAUUGCUCCACUACCAGAUGGACCUGCGUUG